GCGAGUAGGCCUGGAAGCGCUCCGAAGGGCGUUGGGUAUGCACCUAGAUUCCUGCAGGGGGUGCAGAAGAGCAGAUUGUUUUCUUCCCUUAUUUGUCUUGAGCACUUCCAGGGGGAACUCCAGGUUCAGGCCAGAAGCCUGGAGGGCUGUUCGCCUUGGCGGGAUUGGAAUCCAAUUCCCACACUCCUCAGGUGAAGCAACCCCUCCUCCAGCUGGGUGCUCUGAGGAGAGAGGGUCUUCGUGUCGCUCACUCCAGCGUCUCCCAGGCCUGGCACACAUUUCAUGUUCAAUAAACGUUGAGUGACAAGUAAAGGUCACAGGGGAUCGAGUGCCUAGCCCGGCGACUCGCACACUGGGCCAUGGGAGCGGGAUCUGAGCGGGAUCUGGGCGGGAAACUUGCUGGGUAGAGAUGUCAAGUUGCCAGGCGCAUGUGCUGGAUGAGGGUGCGGGCCUGAGUCCGUAGUGCAUUGUAGCAGAGUCCUCUCUCGCCUAAGGGUCUGGGCACUCCUCUCUUAGUGUUUGUCAUUAAUGGAGUCCUUACUCUGCUUGGACAGCGGACACUUGGUGGGGAAAGGCCAGCGAUUAUUAGAUACCCGCUGUAUAUCUGAGGGCCCAUUGAAUAUUCUCAAAAUAAUCAGGUAGAAUAGGUUUAUACUUCUUAUUUCAAAGAGAGAUUAAAAGAUUUGGGGAAAUUAACAGGGUUUUUUGUUUGUUUUUGUUUUUGUACUGGGGAUGGAACCCAGCUUUUAUCACUAAGCUACCUUUUAUCACUAAGCUACGCAACCUUUUUUUUUUUUUAUUUUGAGACAGGGUCUCUCUAAUUUGCUCAGAUUGACGUUGAAUUUGGGAUCUUCCUGCCUUGGCCUCUGGAGUAUCUGAGACUACAGCAGGCAUACCACAACACCCAGCUGUUUGACAGUUUUACUGAUGUUAAACAUAGGCAACACUCCUAAAUGUACAUCUUCCUAGAAGCAUAUGCACUAGAUAUUUGUAGUGACUUUAUUCGUAAUAGGCAAACUCUUGAAGCAAUUCAAAUAUCUAUUAGCAGGAUGAAUGAGGAGACGAGCUGUGGUGUACUCAACACAAUGGAAUAGUACAUAGCAGUGAAAGAACUAACGGGGGCUGGGGUUGUGGCUCAGUGGUA
rnacentral:lncRNA from 1 species